rnacentral:tRNA from 1 species
GUCUGGCCGGCUCAGUCGGUAGGGCAUGUGAUCUUAAUCUUGGGGUUGUGGGUUCAAGUCCCACGUUGGAUA